GGGGGUAUAGCUCAGUGAUAAAGCGCGUGCUUAGCAUGCACGAGGUCCUGGGUUCAAUCCCCAGUACCUCCA
rnacentral:tRNA from 1 species